UACGUAGGGUCCGAGCGUUGUCCGGAAUUACUGGGCGUAAAGCGCUCGUAGGUGGUUUGUCGCGUUGUUCGUGAAAACUCACAGCUUAACUGUGGGCGUGCGGGCGAUACGGGCAGACUUGAGUACUGCAGGGGAGACUGGAAUUCCUGGUGUAGCGGUGGAAUGCGCAGAUAUCAGGAGGAACACCGGUGGCGAAGGCGGGUCUCUGGGCAGUAACUGACGCUGAGGAGCGAAAGCGUGGGGAGCGAACAGG
rnacentral:rRNA from 1 species